GUGGCGAACGGGUGAGUAAUGUAUCGGAACGUACCAUUCAGUGGGGGAUAACGUAGCGAAAGUUACGCUAAUACCGCAUAUUCUGUGAGCAGGAAAGCAGGGGAUCGCAAGACCUUGCGCUGAUUGAGCGGCCGAUAUCAGAUUAGCUAGUUGGUGAGGUAAAGGCUCACCAAGGCGACGAUCUGUAGCGGGUCUGAGAGGAUGAUCCGCCACACUGGAACUGAGACACGGUCCAGACUCCUACGGGAGGCAGCAGUGGGGAAUUUUGGACAAUGGGGGCAACCCUGAUCCAGCCAUGCCGCGUGAGUGAAGAAGGCCUUCGGGUUGUAAAGCUCUUUCGGCCGGGAAAAAAUCGCAUGGGUUAAUACCCUGUGUGGAUGAUGGUACCGGAAUAAGAAGCACCGGCUAACUACGUGCCAGCAGCCGCGGUAAUACGUAGGGUGCGAGCGUUAAUCGGAAUUACUGGGCGUAAAGCGUGCGCAGGCGGUUUGAUAAGACAGGCGUGCAAUCCCCGGGCUCAACCUGGGAACUGCGUUUGUGACUGUCUCACUAGAGUACGGCAGAGGGGGGUGGAAUUCCACGUGUAGCAGUGAAAUGCGUAGAGAUGUGGAGGAACACCAAUGGCGAAGGCAGCCCCCUGGGUCGAUACUGACGCUCAUGCACGAAAGCGUGGGUAGCAAACAGGAUUAGAUACCCUGGUAGUCCACGCCCUAAACGAUGUCAACUAGGUGUUGGGUGGGUAAAACCAUUUAGUACCGUAGCUAACGCGAGAAGUUGACCGCCUGGGGAGUACGGCCGCAAGGUUAAAACUCAAAGGAAUUGACGGGGACCCGCACAAGCGGUGGAUGAUGUGGAUUAAUUCGAUGCAACGCGAAAAACCUUACCUACCCUUGACAUGUCCAGGAGUCCGAAGAGAUUUGGAUGUGCUCGAAAGAGAACUGGAACACAGGUGCUGCAUGGCUGUCGUCAGCUCGUGUCGUGAGAUGUUGGGUUAAGUCCCGCAACGAGCGCAACCCUUGUCGUUAAUUGCCAUCAUUUAGUUGGGCACUUUAACGAGACUGCCGGUGACAAACCGGAGGAAGGUGGGGAUGACGUCAAGUCCUCAUGGCCCUUAUGGGUAGGGCUUCACACGUCAUACAAUGGUCGGUACAAAGGGUUGCCAACCCGCGAGGGGGAGCUAAUCCCAUAAAGCCGAUCGUAGUCCGGAUCGUAGGCUGCAACUCGCCUGCGUGAAGUCGGAAUCGCUAGUAAUCGUGGAUCAGCAUGUCACGGUGAAUACGUUCCCGGGUCUUGUACACACCGCCCGUCACACCAUGGGAGCGGGUUCCGCCAGAAGUAGGUAGCCUAACCGCAAGGAGGGCGCUUACCACGGCGGGGUUCGUGACUGGGGUGAAGUCGUAACAAGGUA
rnacentral:rRNA from 1 species